GUUGUUGGGUAGGGGAGCGUUCUGUAAGCCGUUGAAGGUGUGCUGUGAGGCAUGCUGGAGGUAUCAGAAGUGCGAAUGCUGACAUAAGUAACGAUAAAGCGGGUGAAAAGCCCGCUCGCCGGAAGACCAAGGGUUCCUGUCCAACGUUAAUCGGGGCAGGGUGAGUCGACCCCUAAGGCGAGGCCGAAAGGCGUAGUCGAUGGGAAACAGGUUAAUAUUCCUGUACUUGGUGUUACUGCGAAGGGGGGACGGAGAAGGCUAUGUCAGCCGGGCGACGGUUGUCCCGGUUUAAGCAUGUAGGCGGAGGUUCCAGGUAAAUCCGGUACCUUAUUAACGCUGAGGUGUGAUGACGAGGCACUACGGUGCUGAAGUGAUAAAUGCCCUGCUUCCAGGAAAAGCCUCUAAGCAUCAGGUAACACGAAAUCGUACCCCAAACCGACACAGGUGGUCAGGUAGAGAAUACCAAGGCGCUUGAGAGAACUCGGGUGAAGGAACUAGGCAAAAUGGUGCCGUAACUUCGGGAGAAGGCACGCUGAUGUGUAGGUGAAG
rnacentral:rRNA from 1 species